AUGAGAAGAACGGUACAUUCACGGUUAGGAGUGCUUAUCAUCUUGGAGUUUCUUGGGGGGGGGGGGUCUAAUGAAGGAUCCUCAAAAAACCCCAGUAUUGCUAGGGAGAGCUUAUGGAAUCUAGUCUGGAAAGCAAAGGUACCACAUAAAGUCCGUACCUUCACCUGGAGGGCUGCCACUGAUUCUCUCCCUACAAAGGACAAGCACAGGAGGACUCUUGAAUUGGGUGGUAUAUGCAACCUAUGUGGACUGCGAUUGAAAACGCACAUCAUACUACCAUUGUAUGCACAAAAUAGAGAGCUCUUCGUGAGGAAAUGA
rnacentral:rRNA from 1 species